AUUGAACGCUGGCGGCAGGCCUAACACAUGCAAGUCGAACGAGUGGCGGACGGGUGAGUAAUGUCUGGGAAACUGCCCGUUGGAGGGGGAUAACUACUGGAAACGGUCGCUAAUACCGCAUACCAUCGGAUGUGCCCAGAGGGGAUUAGCUAGUAGGUGGGGUAAAGGCUCACCUAGGCGACGAUCCCUAGCUGGUCUGAGAGGAUGACCAGCCAAACUGGAACUGAGACACGGUCCAGACUCCUACGGGAGGCAGCAGUGGGGAAUAUUGGACAAUGGGCGCAAGCCGGAUGCAGCCAUGCGGCGUGUGUGAAGAAGGCCUUCGGGUUGUAAAGCACUUUCAGCGGGGAGGCGGUACCCGCAGAAGAAGCACCGGCUAACUCCGUGCCAGCAGCCGCGGUAAUAC
rnacentral:rRNA from 1 species